rnacentral:lncRNA from 1 species
CUUAACACUUUGGCUUUUCAGUAUGAAUGUGUGCUUCUGUCUGUGCUCACAGUUAAAGUUACAAUUGGACCAUAAAGCGUUUUUCCCCAGCAGACUGUAAAGAAAUGGAUGGGAGGCAGCUGAGAAAUGAACAUGUGAGUAUCUGUUUCUGUCUAAUUAAAUCCGCAGAACAGCCUCAAGCCUUCCUCUGCCAAGACUGGAUUCAGACAAACUUGCAGAGCCUGUGGUCUGGCUUCUGUGGUAGCACACUGCCACCUAUUGUUUAAAGUCCUCAUCUGUGCUCUGAAACCUUUGUCUGUUCCUCAGCUGAUUGCUGAAAAGACAAGUUAGCUGCUAACAGAUAACUGAUGAUAGUGACAUCAGUCAUGUGCCGGGAUAAAACACUCUUUUAAGAUCACAUAGCUCUUUUGAAGGCUUCUUUAUUACUAUUUGUACAACACAUAGGCUACCUCUAAUGGCACAAAUCAUCUGAGCAGGAGAGUAAUGUAACCCCCAGCUCUUAUGUGUUAUCAUUGUGAAAUGUGUUUUCUUACUGUGGGAUUCUGCACAGGCCCAUUUGUUGUUGUUGCUCUUGAGAACAAAGCAAAAAGAAGAAGUGGCAGCUGGAGGAGCAAUUUUUGUCCAUCAAGGGCUAUUGAGAGUUCAAUUAUUUAUCUUGUGAAGUGUUCCAAGGAUGUGGUCAGCUCAUCAGGGUUAUAAUGCACCGAGUGAGAGGACAUGUGCACGGAGCGCAUGGAGGAGGAUGUUGUUGUAGUCUGAAAAAAGUCAGCUAAAGCUUGUUUCCAGAUACCAGAACUCCCACGCUCCGUGCAGCUGAUGAGGAAGUCUUAAGAAACGGACACUGUUUAUAUCUGUGCUGCUGAGGAGGACCAAACUGUGAAUGUUGAAAAAAGAAAAAAACAAAACAAAACACUACACAAACUUUAUCUGAGUGACUUCAUUCCUCUUUUAAUAAUAUAUUUAUUAAAAGUGAAUAAAGGGGUACUGGAGGUCAAGCCUGCCGGCCACUCUCACACAGAAACAGACUGUUUGUCCUUUGGAGAAUUUCUGUGGGAGUCUAAAUGACAUUAUACCAACACGCCGUAAACAGUGUAAAAGUUCAUGUUGCUCACCCUUUUUUUAUUUAUUUAUUAAUAUCUAUUUCAAGGCAUGCUUUUGCAAUGCAAGUAGCAAAAUGACUUUUUUGAAUUUAAAAAGUUAAAAGAUUUAUUUCUUUGAUUUUGGUGAAAAGUUUCAUCACCCAGCUGGCACAAAUGACUUUGUAGACUAGGCUGUGGUGAAACGAACGAAUGAUGGAAAUGUUUUCAGGUUUUUACUUUUUUAACUCAAAAGUUUUUUUUUUUCUUUUUUUACAGUUAGACAACUGAUUUAUGAGCCUCUUCCCCUUGAUCAAUAUUCCUUUCUUUAAACAUAGGAUAGAAAAGAAAAAGCUGUCUGCAGCAUAUUGCAGUUUUCAUUUUUUAAUUAAUAAUUUAAAGGUGCAAAAUAAAAUGUAUAUUCUACACAGUAAAAAUGUGUAACUGCUACAGAGCUAAUCCUAAAGGGGUUCACUUGGCAGGAGUGUAUUAUAGAAUUAUUUGGACCUGUUGACAAAGGACUGACAACCCCAUAGACUCAAAAUGCUCAGAUUUCUGAUUUUGUUUCUAGUUUGAAUAAAAGUUGAAAAUUUUAUAGUGAUUUCAUGUCCAAGAGGAAACUUCCCUUUUCUUUCUUUUACACUGAACACCAUCAUAGUAUUUCAAACCAGCAGAGGUUGAAAUCUUUUAUAAGACUUGAUCUCACAAGCAGAAUCAAAGUAAAUAUAUUCUAUCCAGGUUAGGACUCAAUGAAAAACAUCAAGCCAACAAUGAGAAGAGUGGCAGAAGAAAAGCUGUGCUUAUCACUAUUCAUCAUCUUCACUUAAAGCCAAGGAACCUUCAGCCAUUUUUUUUCCAGCACAGCUACAUAACAACAGUUAAUGGAGAGAGGCUGGCAGGAGAAAACCGGAUAUGCAUUAUGUCCAUAAAGAACGUCAAAUUCAGCCUGACAUCAUUCUUUGUUUUGAUCAGUCUUGUUGUGAAGCACAUCCAUAAUUGGAAAGGUUGCAUCCACAAUAAUGUGUAUCAUGAUUUAAGUGUUUUUUUCUGUGUAGUGGGGCAGGUUCAGGGAAGCAUAUUUGUGGUGAGAAUGAUGCCUUUACACCUACAUAGAGAUCUGUGGCUUUACCAGUGUAUUAAACGACAAAACGUUCCAGUGUUCAGCGUCCAGACUCGUCACUGCUCCAGACCUUUAGACUCUGCAUUGUAAAGAAUGACAAAAGCAAAGUUGAGCUGCUCAGCCUAACCCCUCGCUCCAUGUGCCACCAAGACACGUCUUUUUCCAACUUUUCCAACUUUACAAAGUGUUUAAAUCUGCUGUUUCCCAAAGGCAUCCAUGAAGAAGCGAAGUGGAAGUGAGAUCCAGAGAAAUUCAACUGCAGUGAGAACAGCACCCGAGGAAAAAUCCAUCACUGGUUUAUCCCCUAAAAAACGGAUCACUUUCAGAAUUCCUGCUAAUGUCCAUCCAUUUCUCCCAGUCAAAUGGACUCUGGAGAAGUGACUGAUUUUACACUGAACUCAAUAAUCCACAGCCUGUGCAGCUUAAGUCAUGGAGCUUCACUGUGCGUAUGUUAACACCAUUAAAUCACCUCAAAUGCCUACAUGAUUCAAUCUUUUUCACAGUGGACGACAAGUGAAUUGAAUUUCCCCAAAGUGGCUGUCCAUUUCCUGUCUGCGUGUGACGAGUGGCUGUACGGUUGCCGGGGAAUUCAGACCCACUCUCCCCUUCACUUAACUCCCAU